GUAUACAGCAUUAAAUACGUCUGGAACAGGAGGCAGGCCCGUGGCCAGAUGUGACUACUUGCCCAACACUGUCAUCUUGUGGGAAAACUGUCACAGUGCAACUUUUGUUCAGCUACCAAUGCAAUCCCAUUCCUACGCUUGAAACUUCUCAAUUACUGGAGUAGAAAGUCACAGAAUUUCGGUAUCAAGUUUAAUCUAAUUUUAAAGAGAACAAACCCUGAAAAUGUACAUGAAAGUAGGAAUAUAAAAAUAAUUCUUUUUCCUAGAGAGCAAGUCAGAAAUAGAUGUCCUUAAUAAUGCAGUGCAGCAUGAAGCAGCUACUGUGUGCCUGAUGGAGACAUUAACUGACACUCAGUUGUCCCUACCAACAAUUUCCCCCACAGACCCUGUAAAGUCACUAUCAGUGCUGCAGGAUCCCAGUCUUUCCCUCAAGUUCUCAAAACAGCAACAGAGAUUGUUCUCCUCCAUGGCUAACAAUGGAAAACUGGCAUAAAUGAAGCACAUUAACACAAAUGACUUUCCUCCACCUCAGCCCUAAGCUCAGAUGAUGUAAGGUAAGUUUGAUACAGCUAGUGAGAAAUUUGCAUGAAGUUCUGGGGCCAAGAAGAUCCCUGUCCUAUUUUGCUGCUGCUUUUGGUUUUAUUUUAGCAAAUCCCUAACUCUAGAAUCAGCUAAGCCCCAGAACUGCCUUAGAAGCUGCAGAGGAAAGUCACUGGUAGCACUGCGUACACUUGAGCCUAACUCCUGUCAGACUAUAAUUCAUGCAAGGAUAUUUCUUUAGAAGUCAGUGGCUCAGUCUGAUGAAAGACCUUUGUGGCUGGGAGAAAAUACAUUCACCACCCUAGGAUGGAUAAGCGCAGAGAACAGAACAAGGAGUCUACCUGCUCUUAGUGACUGCUGCUCCAAACAAAGUGGGUAGCUGCAUUUUGGAUUAGUCACAGGUUUGUCAUAAGACGGUCAGAGCGCCCAUCCCUGAUCUACAGUAAAUUAGCUUAAGCCCUGAUGAAUUAGAUUAGUGACUCAGGGGUUACCCAACAGCACAAUGCAUCUUUUGUUCUAGAUGCUGGUAGAAAAUAGCAUUUUGGGGUAAUGGCAGGUGUGUGCAAUAAUUAAGCAGCCCAGAUACAUUCCUAGGCUACCACCCAAGUUAGAGGGAAUACACACUUCGAAGCGGUGUGAUGCUGUCCCUCUUUCACUGCCACAAUGGGCUUCAGCGUUUGUCUAUGACCUCAGAGUCUUCUAAUACUGGAACACUGAAACAGUCCUUCUCAAAACCAUCAGAGGAAGAGAGACUUACCUGGAAACUGUGCUUUUUACAACAGGAAAAUAAACAGAAAGCUUCAAGGAGAGCAAGAGGCUCUGUAAAGCAAUUGCUAUUUUUUCCCUGCUCAGUAUGAAAAAAAUAGCUUUGAGAACUCAGUUUUCUCUGUAACUAUCUACCAGUUUCUAUCUGCUGUUGACUGGUAGAAAAAACUUAACCUCUGGUGGAGCAGGGAGAGUACUUCACCACUG